rnacentral:SRP_RNA from 1 species
GAUCGGGUCUCGCGCAGGGUAGCCCUGUGAACCCCGCCAGGUCCGGAAGGAAGCAACGGUAAGCAGCGAGCGGCCCGUGCCGCGAGGCUACCCGAUCGGA